GUUCUUCGUCGAGAGUCGUCGGGGUUUCCUGCUUCAACAGUGCUUGGACGGAACCCGGCGCUCGUCCCCCAUCCCGGCCGGCCGCCCAUAGCCAGCCCUCCGUCACCUCUUCACCGCGUCCUCGGACCGCCCCAAGGCCCCCGCCGCCUGUCCUUAGCCUCCGCCAUGACGACCGCGUCCACCUCGCAGGUGCGCCAGAACUACCACCAGGACUCAGAGGCCGCCAUCAACCGCCAGAUCAACCUGGAGCUCUACGCUUCCUACGUUUACCUGUCCAUGUCUUACUACUUUGACGGCGAUGAUGUGGCUUUGAAGAACUUUGCCAAAUACUUUCUUCACCAAUCUCAUGAGGAAAGGGAACAUGCCGAGAAACUGAUGAAGCUGCAGAACCAACGAGGUGGCCGAAUCUUCCUUCAGGAUAUUAAGAAACCAGACUAUGACGACUGGGAGAGCGGGCUGAAUGCAAUGGAGUGUGCUUUACAUUUGGAAAAAAAUGUGAAUCAAUCACUACUGGAACUGCACAAACUGGCCACUGACAAAAAUGAUCCCCAUUUGUGUGACUUCACUGAGACACAUUACCUGAAUGAGCAGGUGAAAGCCAUCAAAGAAUUGGGUGACCACGUGACCAACUUGCGCAAGCUAGGAGCACCCGAAUCUGGCUUGGCAGAGUAUCUCUUUGACAAGCACACCCUGGGAGACGGUGAUGAUGAAAGCUAA